rnacentral:miRNA from 15 species
AAGCCCUUUUAUUAUUUGUAGA